AUACCCAAUGAUAUCUCUAGAAGACAUCUGAAGGAGAUUAAAGAUUUAUCGGUGAUGGAUGGGGAUGCGUCUGAUUAGCUUGUUGGCGGGGUAACGGCCCACCAAGGCGACGAUCAGUAGGGGUUCUGAGAGGAAGGUCCCCCACAUUGGAACUGAGACACGGUCCAAACUCCUACGGGAGGCAGCAGUGAGGAAUAUUGGUCAAUGGGCGAGAGCCUGAACCAGCCAAGUAGCGUGCAGGAUGACGGCCCUAUGGGUUGUAAACUGCUUUUAUAAGGGAAUAAAGUGAGAGUCGUGACUCUUUUUGCAUGUACCUUAUGAAUAAGGACCGGCUAAUUCCGUGCCAGCAGCCGCGGUAAUACGGAAGGUCCGGGCGUUAUCCGGAUUUAUUGGGUUUAAAGGGAGCGUAGGCCGGAGAUUAAGCGUGUUGUGAAAUGUAGAUGCUCAACAUCUGCACUGCAGCGCGAACUGGUUUCCUUGAGUACGCACAAAGUGGGCGGAAUUCGUGGUGUAGCGGUGAAAUGCUUAGAUAUCACGAAGAACUCCGAUUGCGAAGGCAGCUCACUGGAGCGCAACUGACGCUGAAGCUCGAAAGUGCGGGUAUCGAACAGGAUUAGAUACCCUGGUAGUCCGCACGGUAAACGAUGGAUGCCCGCUGUUGGUCUGAAUAG
rnacentral:rRNA from 1 species